UCUAUUUAAUUAUAUAUAGUUAAUAAGUUAUAGAGUUUUUAGUUAUACAAUAAUUAAACAAUUUUCAAUCGAUGGCAUGCAAAGGAAAAAAUAAUAUGAUUAAACUUCUCAAGUUUAUUUAUACUUUGAUAAUCUGUAUUUCCAUGUUUCUUGUCGUAACCAAUGGCGUCUUAAGGCCAGCUGUUAAGCAGCCAUGGUCUUGUGAACAGGACGAUGAUUGUGAAACAAUGGCAUGUCAUAAACCUUUAAUUCCGUAUUGCAUUUAUUACAAAUGUUUAUGCAUGGAACGUUUUAGUGAUAGAGGGUAUUAAAAAAAUGAUAAAUUAAAAAAAAAUAAAAAAAUAAUGUUAGUACUUUUUAAAUGUCCCCCACAAUUUCAAUUAUGUAUCAAUGAUAUUUCAAUUUCUUUGACGAGCUCAAAAGUGUUAUAUUA